GAGAGUUUAAAUUUGUAACUUAUCGAUGUCAACGUUCACAAGAACCAAAACCGGAACAACAUUAGACUACUCAGUUGCGCCCUAACAGUAUAACUUUGCAACGAGUACUUUUUCUCAUUCUAUCGAACAAAGAGUAAAACCUAAUUAUAUUGUUCUAUUAUACCCCGAGAGUGUAAAUUUUUAACUUAUCGAGGUCAACGUUCACAAGAACCAAAGCCCAACCAACAUUAGACUACUCAGUUGCGCCCUAACAGCAUAACUUUGCAAUAAGUACUUUUUCUCCUCCAACCGAAUAAAGAGAAAAACCUAAUUAUAUUGUUCUAUUUUACCCUGAGAGAGUAAAUUUGCAACGUAUCAAUGUCAACGUUCACAAAAAUCAAAACCGGACCAACAUUAGACUACUCAGUUGCGCCCUAACAGCAUAACUUUGCAAUAAGUACUUUUUCUCCUCCAACCGAAUAAAGAGAAAAACCUAAUUAUAUUGUUCUAUUUUACCCUGAGAGAGUAAAUUUGCAACGUAUCAAUGUCAACGUUCACAAAAAUCAAAACCGGACCAACAUUAGACUACUCAGUUGCGCCCUUACAAUAUAACUUAAUUAUAUUGUUCUAUUAGACUUUUUCUCAUUCAAUUGAACAAAGAGUAAAACCUAAUUAUAUUGUUCUAUUAUGCCCCGAGAGUAUAAAUUUGCAGUGUAUCGAUGUCAACGUUCACACGAACCAAAAUGGUACAAACAUUAG
rnacentral:lncRNA from 1 species